GGGAAACUGGGAAUAAUUCCGGAUAGGUCACCGAUGCUGGAAUGCGCGGUGGCCGAAAGCUCCGGCGCCCGAGGAUGGGUCUGCGGCCUAUCAGGGUUGUAGUGUAACGUACCUACUAGCCUACGACGGGUACGGGUUGUGAGAGCAAGAGCCCGGAGAUGGAUUCUGAGACACGAAUCCAGGCCCUACGGGGUGCAGCAGGCGCGAAAACUUUACAAUGCGGGAAACCGUGAUAAGGGGAUCUCGAGUGCCAGCAUAUAAUGUUGGCUGUCCAGAUGCCUAAAAAGCAUCUGUUAGCAAGGGCCGGGCAAGACCGGUGCCAGCCGCCGCGGUAACACCGGCGGCCCGAGUGGUAACCGCUAUUAUUGGGUCUAAAGGGUCUGUAGCCGGCCAGGUAAGUCCCUUGGGAAAUCUGGCAGCUCAACUGUCAGGCUGCUAGGGGAUACUGUUUGGCUUGGGACCGGGAGAGGUGAGAGGUACCUUGGGGGUAGGGGUGAAAUCUUGUGAUCCUCGAGGGACCACCAGUGGCGAAGGCGUCUCACCAGAACGGGUCCGACGGUAAGGGACGAAAACUAGGGGCACGAACCGGAUUAGAUACCCGGGUAGUCCUAGCCGUAAACGAUGCUCGCUAGGUGUCAGUCACGGUGCGACCGUGAUUGGUGCCGUAGGGAAGCCGUGAA
rnacentral:rRNA from 1 species